AGCGAACGCUGGCGGCAGGCUUAACACAUGCAAGUCGAGCGGGCGUAGCAAUACGUCAGCGGCAGACGGGUGAGUAACGCGUGGGAACGUACCUUUUGGUUCGGAACAACACAGGGGAAACUUGUGCUAAUACCGGAUAAGCCCUUACGGGGAAAGAUUUAUCGCCGAAAGAUCGGCCCGCGUCUGAUUAGCUAGUUGGUGAGGUAACGGCUCACCAAGGCGACGAUCAGUAGCUGGUCUGAGAGGAUGAUCAGCCACAUUGGGACUGAGACACGGCCCAAACUCCUACGGGAGGCAGCAGUGGGGAUAUUGCGCGAAUGGGCGAAAGCCCUGACGCAGCGACGCCGCGUGGGUGAUGAAGGCCU
rnacentral:rRNA from 1 species